rnacentral:misc_RNA from 1 species
AAAGUCGUAACAAGGUUUCCGUAGGUGAACCUGCGGAAGGAUCAUUACCAAACAUGUCGUUGUGCCGCAUCGCCGCGCCACGUUGCACUGGGCCAGUUCCCAUGGCAUUAUCGGUGGUUGCUGGCGGUGUAGGCCCGACACGACACGAAAACCCAUCCGUGUACCCUUCCUGUUGCUUCCGCGGUUGCGAUUCGCAUCCGCGGGAGGUCACUGUAAAAACCAUUCUGCAUCUCCAUGCCCUCAGUCUGAACUUCAAUCUGAUUAAUUAAGAUUAAAAACUUUCAACAACGGAUCUCUUGGUUCUC